rnacentral:rRNA from 1 species
GGGUUGUGAGGUUAAGCGACUAAGCGUACACGGUGGAUGCCCUGGCAGUCAGAGGCGAUGAAGGACGUGCUAAUCUGCGAUAAGCGUCGGUAAGGUGAUAUGAACCGUUAUAACCGGCGAUUUCCGAAUGGGGAAACCCAGUGUGAUUCGUCACACUAUCAUUAACUGAAUCCAUAGGUUAAUGAGGCGAACCGGGGGAACUGAAACAUCUAAGUACCCCGAGGAAAAGAAAUCAACCGAGAUUCCCCCAGUAGCGGCGAGCGAACGGGGAGCAGCCCAGAGCCUGAAUCAGUGUGUGUGUUAGUGGAAGCGUCUGGAAAGGCGCGCGAUACAGGGUGACAGCCCCGUACACAAAAAUGCACAUGCUGUGAGCUCGAUGAGUAGGGCGGGACACGUGGUAUCCUGUCUGAAUAUGGGGGGACCAUCCUCCAAGGCUAAAUACUCCUGACUGACCGAUAGUGAACCAGUACCGUGAGGGAAAGGCGAAAAGAACCCCGGCGAGGGGAGUGAAAAAGAACCUGAAACCGUGUACGUACAAGCAGUGGGAGCACGCUUCGGCGUGUGACUGCGUACCUUUUGUAUAAUGGGUCAGCGACUUAUAUUCUGUAGCAAGGUUAACCGAAUAGGGGAGCCGAAGGGAAACCGAGUCUUAACUGGGCGUUAAGUUGCAGGGUAUAGACCCGAAACCCGGUGAUCUAGCCAUGGGCAGGUUGAAGGUUGGGUAACACUAACUGGAGGACCGAACCGACUAAUGUUGAAAAAUUAGCGGAUGACUUGUGGCUGGGGGUGAAAGGCCAAUCAAACCGGGAGAUAGCUGGUUCUCCCCGAAAGCUAUUUAGGUAGCGCCUCGUGAAUUCAUCUCCGGGGGUAGAGCACUGUUUCGGCAAGGGGGUCAUCCCGACUUACCAACCCGAUGCAAACUGCGAAUACCGGAGAAUGUUAUCACGGGAGACACACGGCGGGUGCUAACGUCCGUCGUGAAGAGGGAAACAACCCAGACCGCCAGCUAAGGUCCCAAAGUCAUGGUUAAGUGGGAAACGAUGUGGGAAGGCCCAGACAGCCAGGAUGUUGGCUUAGAAGCAGCCAUCAUUUAAAGAAAGCGUAAUAGCUCACUGGUCGAGUCGGCCUGCGCGGAAGAUGUAACGGGGCUAAACCAUGCACCGAAGCUGCGGCAGCGACGCUUAUGCGUUGUUGGGUAGGGGAGCGUUCUGUAAGCCUGCGAAGGUGUGCUGUGAGGCAUGCUGGAGGUAUCAGAAGUGCGAAUGCUGACAUAAGUAACGAUAAAGCGGGUGAAAAGCCCGCUCGCCGGAAGACCAAGGGUUCCUGUCCAACGUUAAUCGGGGCAGGGUGAGUCGACCCCUAAGGCGAGGCCGAAAGGCGUAGUCGAUGGGAAACAGGUUAAUAUUCCUGUACUUGGUGUUACUGCGAAGGGGGGACGGAGAAGGCUAUGUUGGCCGGGCGACGGUUGUCCCGGUUUAAGCGUGUAGGCUGGUUUUCCAGGCAAAUCCGGAAAAUCAAGGCUGAGGCGUGAUGACGAGGCACUACGGUGCUGAAGCAACAAAUGCCCUGCUUCCAGGAAAAGCCUCUAAGCAUCAGGUAACAUCAAAUCGUACCCCAAACCGACACAGGUGGUCAGGUAGAGAAUACCAAGGCGCUUGAGAGAACUCGGGUGAAGGAACUAGGCAAAAUGGUGCCGUAACUUCGGGAGAAGGCACGCUGAUAUGUAGGUGAAGUCCCUCGCGGAUGGAGCUGAAAUCAGUCGAAGAUACCAGCUGGCUGCAACUGUUUAUUAAAAACACAGCACUGUGCAAACACGAAAGUGGACGUAUACGGUGUGACGCCUGCCCGGUGCCGGAAGGUUAAUUGAUGGGGUCAGCGCAAGCGAAGCUCUUGAUCGAAGCCCCGGUAAACGGCGGCCGUAACUAUAACGGUCCUAAGGUAGCGAAAUUCCUUGUCGGGUAAGUUCCGACCUGCACGAAUGGCGUAAUGAUGGCCAGGCUGUCUCCACCCGAGACUCAGUGAAAUUGAACUCGCUGUGAAGAUGCAGUGUACCCGCGGCAAGACGGAAAGACCCCGUGAACCUUUACUAUAGCUUGACACUGAACAUUGAGCCUUGAUGUGUAGGAUAGGUGGGAGGCUUUGAAGUGUGGACGCCAGUCUGCAUGGAGCCGACCUUGAAAUACCACCCUUUAAUGUUUGAUGUUCUAACGUUGACCCGUAAUCCGGGUUGCGGACAGUGUCUGGUGGGUAGUUUGACUGGGGCGGUCUCCUCCUAAAGAGUAACGGAGGAGCACGAAGGUUGGCUAAUCCUGGUCGGACAUCAGGAGGUUAGUGCAAUGGCAUAAGCCAGCUUGACUGCGAGCGUGACGGCGCGAGCAGGUGCGAAAGCAGGUCAUAGUGAUCCGGUGGUUCUGAAUGGAAGGGCCAUCGCUCAACGGAUAAAAGGUACUCCGGGGAUAACAGGCUGAUACCGCCCAAGAGUUCAUAUCGACGGCGGUGUUUGGCACCUCGAUGUCGGCUCAUCACAUCCUGGGGCUGAAGUAGGUCCCAAGGGUAUGGCUGUUCGCCAUUUAAAGUGGUACGCGAGCUGGGUUUAGAACGUCGUGAGACAGUUCGGUCCCUAUCUGCCGUGGGCGCUGGAGAACUGAGGGGGGCUGCUCCUAGUACGAGAGGACCGGAGUGGACGCAUCACUGGUGUUCGGGUUGUCAUGCCAAUGGCACUGCCCGGUAGCUAAAUGCGGAAGAGAUAAGUGCUGAAAGCAUCUAAGCACGAAACUUGCCCCGAGAUGAGUUCUCCCUGACCCUUUAAGGGUCCUGAAGGAACGUUGAAGACGACGACGUUGAUAGGCCGGGUGUGUAAGCGCAGCGAUGCGUUGAGCUAACCGGUACUAAUGAACCGUGAGGCUUAACCUUACAACGCCGAAG